rnacentral:rRNA from 1 species
AGUGAACGCUGGCGGUAGGCCUAACACAUGCAAGUCGAACGGCAGCACAGUAAGAGCUUGCUCUUACGGGUGGCGAGUGGCGGACGGGUGAGGAAUACAUCGGAAUCUACUUUUUCGUGGGGGAUAACGUAGGGAAACUUACGCUAAUACCGCAUACGACCUACGGGUGAAAGCAGGGGAUCUUCGGACCUUGCGCGAUUGAAAGAGCCGAUGUCGGAUUAGCUAGUUGGCGGGGUAAAGGCCCACCAAGGCGACGAUCCGUAGCUGGUCUGAGAGGAUGAUCCGCCACACUGGAACUGAGACACGGUCCAGACUCCUACGGGAGGCAGCAGUGGGGAAUAUUGGACAAUGGGCGCAAGCCUGAUCCAGCCAUACCGCGUGGGUGAAGAAGGCCUUCGGGUUGUAAAGCCCUUUUGUUGGGAAAGAAAAGCAGCAGGUUAAUACCCCGCUGUUCUGACGGUACCCAAAGAAUAGGCACCGGCUAACUUCGUG